AAAUUUCAAAAUUAUUUCUAGAUCAACCAUGAAUGUUAGGAAUACAGAAUUCAAAGUCUAACAUAGAAUAAAGGUCUUACAAAUUUAACCAUUUUAAACUUGAACGUAAGUUAUACAAACAUCUUUUUUAAUAAAAUAGGAGGUAGACUCAAACCAAGAUCUUCAUAUAGAGUAAAAUCAGCCUCUUUUAAGAUAAUAAAAUGCAAUAUCAGCAUCUCCUGGUCACACAGCAAUUAUUAUGUUAUCUAAAUGGUUUGUCAUUUUAAUAGAUUGAGAUUUUAGUUUUAUUAGUAAAUU
rnacentral:lncRNA from 1 species